AAGUCGUAACAAGGUUUCCGUAGGUGAACCUGCGGAAGGAUCAUUAACACUUCGUUAAUUUCCAAACCAACCAACUGUGAACCGUAGCGUCCCUAUUCAUUACAUUAGUAGUGAGUAGACAAUACCCUCUCUAGUAGUUGUCAUAUGCUACAGACUAAGCAAUUAGUUUGUAGCCUAUGAUGAUGAACUAUUAACCAAUUUUCACCCUAUAACUUGAAUUGUCUAAUCUUCAUAGAACUUUUUCUCGAAAGGGAGGAAGCUUUUACGAAAUAUUGAACAACUCUUAGCAAUGGAUAUCUUGGGUCGUAU
rnacentral:misc_RNA from 1 species